AGCCGAUCGUCGCCCGCGGAUCGUCAUCAGUCACUGGUUUAGCGUAAAGGAGACCGCGUCGAUCGUCAACCCGUCAACUUUUCCGCCGGACGAUCGACCUCAAGAAGAAGUUUUGUUCGAGGAAUCUCUGUGGUGAAAACCGUCUCACCAGUGAGGAAGAACAAGGCGUGGAAUAAUAACCGCACUGGAGUGCGAGGUGCCGCGACACCGUAAAUUGGUCGUGGUGGAGAGUGAGGUGGCGUCUACGUUCAGCAUGGAUAGCAUGGCCAUGCUGGAGUAGUUAGGAGUACUUGAGAUCGGCCUUCAUUUCCUGUUUCGCAAGCUAAAUUCCAUCAUGGCUGGAGACGUGGUGUUGAGCAGUGCGCUGCUGUGCAUUCCUGCCGACUGGACGGCGGGGCAAAUGCACCGGAUGGCCGGCGUUCUCGCCGGUGACCAAGCUGGGUUCUGCCCGGGCAGCAACAUUGUUCCGGAUCGUCGAGGGAUACACGGGGGUCACACACACACACAGGUUUACACCCGCAACUCUAGUUUUAAGGACGCCAACUAGGUUUAGUUCGCCAAUAUAGAUGUAAGUACGCUAAAA